UUGCUGAGACUGGCGUCUUACUUGCAAUCCUCCUGCCUCAGCCUCCUGAGUUGCUGGGAUUGCAGGUGGGCCUCACCAUGCCUACCCAAUAUUAACUUUGCCAUGAGUGGUGUGUCUCGUGAGAGAAUUGACGUGCAGGCUGGCUCUCAGGAGGCUGAAAGGAGGUGCAGAGCCAGGCAAGAAACGUCACCAGGCAGUUGGGCAUCUUGCAACAAGAGCAUUGGUGUGAGGUUGCCUGGGAUCGUAUCUCGGAUGGAUUCCAUACGUGACCACCUACUUACCUGGGCCACGUUUAGGGAGAUAAUGUUCUCUAGAGUAAAAUGUAAUUAAUUAAUACUUGCCUUAAAUUGUUUUGCACAACACACUUGGGUAGGUGCAGGAGUUGACCAGAUGAGUCUGGUCAGCUACAGAGAUGCAGCCGUCAACAGACAACCAAAUGGAUUUAGAGCAAAGAAAAAAAAAAAAAAGACUGCACUCGAACGUGUGAAUUUGACCCCCAUUAAAAAAAAUAAAAAUAAAUGCUGGCAUUCAGACCUCUGAGUUUGGAAA